UGGACUUUCCCUCAAGACGUCAGAAGGAGGAUCAUCUGCUUCCAGAACAAUGGCUGACUGCUGGUAACUGAGCUGCGGGAAGUGAAACUGCAGAUAAGGGCCGGGAAUAAGAAAGAAAUCUAAAAGAACAAAAAUGUUAACUAUUUCCCUCUGGAUAAUGGGACUACGUGAGUAUUAAUUUUCUACUGCUGCACAACAAACUGUGCCAAAGUCUGGUGGCUUAAACAAAAAGAAUGUUCAUUAUCUCAGUUUCUACGGGCAAGGAAUUGGGGCACAGCUUAGCUGCCUGGUUCUGCCUUGGAGUUUCUCAGAAAGUUUCUGUCAGGAUGGUGGUGGAGGCCAGUCAUCUGAAGACUUCACUGGGGCUGAAGGAUCAAUCCACUUCUAAGAAGACUCACUCACACUCUGUUGGCAGGAGGACUCAAUCAUCCCUUGCUUCAUGGGCCUCUUCACAGACAAGGCUGCUUCGUGACAUGGCAGCCGGCAUCCCCAGAGCCAAAAGUGAUCAAGACAGAACAAAGUGGAAAAUACAAUGUCUUUUAUGGUCUACCUCAGAAAGUCCCACUGUAUUCCUGCUAUAUUCUAUUCAUCAGAAGCAAGUCCCUAAGUCCAGCCCACACUCAAGGAGAGAAUUUGGGUCUACCUCUCAAAGGAAAGCUCAUCCACCGAUUUGUGGACGUAUUUUUUAAAUCCCUGUAACAGGUGACCUGCGGCAUACUCAGAAAAAAAUAGGUAAUUUAUUUUCUAAAUGGAAAGCUAAUUUCAUAAAUACUCCCCCCCCCCACACACACACACACGAAGAGGCAAUUUAAAAAACAUAUAUCCACAAUAAGCAUGAAGUGCCUGCCUAAAGAGGUAAUUCAAUUCUGAGUUCGAAUAACAGAAAAAUGGCACCUGAAACAAGUUCUAUAUUUUACCAUUUAGAGUACUACUUUUAGUAAAUUCUAACCAGAAAACUAACAAAGUGGAGCUUAUCGCCUAGACAAAGUUACUUCGGAAUGAGGAAGAGUCUGGAGGAAAAUGGUGUUUGGCUUGAAAGACUCACGGAAGAGAAAGAGCAAACAAAUCAUUACCUUCAACUAUAUGAAGCGUUGUCAUGUGGGAAAGUCAAAACACUUAAGAGGCAGAACUUGAAUCAAUGAGUCAGAGUCACAGGGAUGCAAAGUGGCUCAUACAAGAACUUUCUAACAAUUAGAGUUGUUAAAACCCAGAACAAGCUGCUCGGCGAAUGUUCCCGGUGGCUGUGGGAGGAGUGUGUGGAGACUGAGGCAAGGUGGUGCCAUUCCCUGGGCUACCUCUGAGGUUCACGUCUAACUUGGUCCUUCCCUACUCACACUGAUGUGGCUGGUGUUGAAACCAAACCUACGGCCUCUCCCAAAGCAGUAGACGUGACACUGGGUCCUACGCCACGAGGCAUAAGUGAAAUGCACCGCACUUGGCAUAGUAAGUGGCAGAGUGUGCCUUAUAAACGUCAGCUAUUACUUCUGCAUCGACUCAGAGUGUGACAAGACGUUCGCUAAGUCCCUUCCAAUUUCUCAGACUUCAUAAAUAAGUUAAGAUCACUAUAAUUAACUAUUAAUAAUCCUGAUGGCCAGCUUCAGUAAUACACUUAAAGGUAGGAAUGACAAAGCCAGGAUGGCUGGACAUGCUUUGGGAAACCACAAAGAACAGAGGCAGUCACUUAUGUAGACAUGUAAAAACCACAAAAAUCAAAACUAAACAUAUUCAAACAAGUCAUAUCCUCUCUGGCACAUGCGGUCUGCUUUCUGGAAUGAAAGUAUUUUAAAACAGAGACUCAAACUGGGCUAUUUCACCAACUCAGAGCAAAUUAGAUUAUUACAAUGAGUUUAUUCACCCAUGCCUGCCAACUACCCACCACAACUCAAAACUUACUUUUUGGGUGCCAGCGGCCUGGACAUUCUGCCAUGUUGCUACAGGUUCUGUAGCUAUGUGCCACUCUGGGUAAGUUUCCGUGAGUAACUUCACAAAGGUGGACUUUCCCACAGCUGCAAUGCAAACAGCACGUAUUGGGACACUUCCCAAAUGAGGGCUGAAGGAGAAGCUGCUACUAAACUCUGCCACAAAGACCCAACUUAAGGCAACAAGCACCAGGUUUCCCAAUUUCAAAACUCAGUGCCAUACGACUGUCCGACGGCCAAUGGAUAGGUCAGGCCCUGCUAACCAGAGUCGCCGUAAGGAAUACGGGCAUUAGGGAAGAUAAAUACCCUUCAGAUAUGACUUGCAGUUUUAAUGCUUCAACCUCCCAGAGGCAAACUAUUUAAUAACCUUGAAAAAUGUAAGACUACCAGAAGUAGAUGAAAUCAGCUACUUAAGUUGUAAUGCGUGAAUCAUAUUCUGUGACUGUAAAAACUGCAAGUUUUUCAAGAAAGAAAAUUCAGAUGAUGACCCUCAUUCGCUCAACAAACCUAAUCAGUAUUUACCGGAGUGCUUACUAUGGGCUCAGGACUAUCUGGCACUGGGGUACAGUGAUGAACAAAACAUAGGAUGGAUUCUGCCCUCAAAGAGCUUGCACGGGAGACACUAAACAAACACGGAAGUAACCAAUAACAAAUGGUGUUGAGUGGUAGGAAAGAAAAAUGCAGGACGGCUCUAAUACAGCACAGGAGACCAGGGAAGGUUCCUCUGAAGAAAAUGUUCUCUGAGGUAGAAGAUGGGGCUCCUCUAGGGCACACAGAGUGGAACUGGAACCACAAACCAGCAUAAUGAUCUGACUGAGUGAAACAUUUAAUGGAACCAAGAGAAGGAAGGGAGGUGCCCUUCAAGUCAAUUCUAUCAGCCACCCAGGGUUACUGAUCAGGCGUGAAGGGAUUGUCUCAGAAGAGCCCACACAUCCAAUAUGUGCCAUCGAUUACACACCACUCCAACUCCUGUCUGAACAACACAGGGACCUGACUCUCUGGGGUUGGGACCCAGGAAUCCACAUUUGUAAGUAUGCCCCAAAGUGAUCCUGAUGCAUACUUAUAUUUGAGGUUGCUGUCCACUACAAUUUGUUCAAAAUCAA